UACAGAGGUCUCAAGCGUUGUUCGGAUUCAUUGGGCGUAAAGGGUGCGUAGGUGGCGCGGUAAGUCGGGUGUGAAAUUUCGGAGCUUAACUCCGAAACUGCAUUCGAUACUGCCGUGCUUGAGGACUGGAGAGGAGACUGGAAUUUACGGUGUAGCAGUGAAAUGCGUAGAGAUCGUAAGGAAGACCAGUGGCGAAGGCGGGUCUCUGGACAGUUCCUGACACUGAGGCACGAAGGCCAGGGGAGGCAAACGGG
rnacentral:rRNA from 1 species